AUUGAACGCUGGCGGCAUGCUUUACACAUGCAAGUCGAACGGUAACAGGGAGCUUGCUCCGCUGACGAGUGGCGAACGGGUGAGUAAUGCGUCGGAACGUGCCGAGUAGUGGGGGAUAACGCAUCGAAAGGUGUGCUAAUACCGCAUACGAACUGAGGUUGAAAGUGGGGGACCUUCGGGCCUCACGCUAUUCGGGCGGCCGACGUCUGAUUAGCUAGUUGGUGAGGUAAAGGCUCACCAAGGCGACGAUCAGUAGCGGGUCUGAGAGGAUGAUCCGCAACACUGGGACUGAGACACGGCCCAGACUCCUACGGGAGGCAGCAGUGGGGAAUUUUGGACAAUGGGCGCAAGCCUGAUCCAGCCAUGCCGCGUGUCUGAAGAAGGCCUUCGGGUUGUAAAGGACUUUUGUCCGGGAGCAAAUGCUGGUGGCUAACAUCCACCGGAGCUGAGAGUACCGGAAGAAUAAGCACCGGCUAACUACGUGCCAGCCGCCGCCGUAAGAC
rnacentral:rRNA from 1 species